GACGACGCUGGCGGCGUGCCUAACACAUGCAAGUCGAGCGAGUGGCGAACGGGUGAGUAACGCGUGAGGAACCUGCCUCAAAGAGGGGGACAACAGUUGGAAACGACUGCUAAUACCGCAUAAGCCCACGGCUCGGCAUCGAGCAGAGGGAAAAGGAGCAAUCCGCUUUGAGAUGGCCUCGCGUCCGAUUAGCUAGUUGGUGAGGUAAUGGCCCACCAAGGCGACGAUCGGUAGCCGGACUGAGAGGUUGAACGGCCACAUUGGGACUGAGACACGGCCCAGACUCCUACGGGAGGCAGCAGUGGGGAAUAUUGCACAAUGGGGGAAACCCUGAUGCAGCGACGCCGCGUGGAGGAAGAAGGUCUUCGGAUUGUAAACUCCUGUUGUUGAGGAAGAUAAUGACGGUACUCAACAAGGAAGUGACGGCUAACUACGUG
rnacentral:rRNA from 1 species